rnacentral:rRNA from 1 species
GCACAACGCGAAGAACCUUACCCACCCUUGACAUGUACGGAAUCCUUUAGAGAUAGAGGAGUGCUCGAAAGAGAGCCGUAACACAGGUGCUGCAUGGCUGUCGUCAGCUCGUGUCGUGAGAUAUUGGGUUAAGUCCCGCAACGAGCGCAACCCUUGCCAUUAGUUGCUACAUUUAGUUGAGCACUCUAAUGGGACUGCCGGUGACAAACCGGAGGAAGGUGGGGAUGACGUCAAGUCCUCAUGGCCCUUAUAGGGUGGGGCUACACACGUCAUACAAUGGCUGGUACAAAGGGUUGCCAACCCGCGAGGGGGAGCUAAUCCCAUAAAGCCAGUCGUAGUCCGGAUCGCAGUCUGCAACUCGACUGCGUGAAGUCGGAAUCGCUAGUAAUCGUGGAUCAGAAUGUCACGGUGAAUACGUUCCCGGGUCUUGUACACACCG